GAUGAACGCUAGCGGCAGGCCUAAUACAUGCAAGUCGAACGAUAUUAAGGGGCUUGCUCCUUAAGAAAGUGGCGCACGGGUGCGUAACGCGUAUGCAACCUACCUUAAUCAGGGGGAUAGCCCGAAGAAAUUCGGAUUAACACCGCAUAAAGACACAGGAUAGCAUUAUCCAAUGUUCAAAUAUUUAUAGGAUUAAGAUGGGCAUGCGUGUCAUUAGCUAGUUGGCGGGGUAACGGCCCACCAAGGCGACGAUGACUAGGGGAUCUGAGAGGAUGACCCCCCACACUGGUACUGCGACACGGACCAGACUCCUACGGGAGGCAGCAGUAAGGAAUAUUGGUCAAUGGAGGCAACUUUGAACCAGCCAUGCCGCGUGCAGGAAGACUGCCCUAUGGGUUGUAAACUGCUUUUAUCCGGGAAUAAACCUUUCUACGUGUAGGAAGCUGAAUGUACCGGAAGAAUAAGGAUCGGCUAACUCCGUGCCAGCCGCCGCAGUAACAC
rnacentral:rRNA from 1 species